GAACGGGGUAGCAAUACCCAGUGGCAGACGGGUGAGUAACACGUGGUCAACCUACCUCUGUGUGGGGGAUAACUAGCCGAAAGGUUAGCUAAUACCGCAUACGAUCGUUUCGGGGCAUCCUAAAACGAUGAAAGGAGCAAUCCGCACGGAGAGGGGACUGCGUCCCAUUAGUUAGUUGGUGGGGUAAUGGCCUACCAAGACUCCGAUGGGUAGCUGGCUUGAGAGAGCGACCAGCCACACUGGAACUGAGACACGGUCCAGACUCCUACGGGAGGCAGCAGUGAGGAAUUUUCCGCAAUGGGCGAAAGCCUGACGGAGCGACGCCGCGUGUGGGAAGAAGGCCUUCGGGUCGUANACCACUGUCGAAGGGGACGAUAUUGACGGUACCCUUGGAGGAAGCCCCGGCUAACUACGUG
rnacentral:rRNA from 1 species